rnacentral:misc_RNA from 1 species
CUUCCUGUCAAGAAGGGAAAUUUCUAGUUUUGCAGGCUGCUUUAAGUUACCAGUAUCCUUGUGUGGCCCAGGUGGAAAGCUAAAGUUAACCAAGUUACAUGGUGUCUUUUGUUCCUCGUGUUUAACCAACACCUUAUGCAGAUUCACUUGAGCAACAGAACUGUCCAAUUCUCCAUUAUGUUUCUCACUGCUGGGCAAAUCAGAUGGUUCUUGAAUGCUUGUUCCAUUCAAUGAAUAAACUUUAGCAGUUUCUUUAGGUGAUCUUUCUAUGUCAGAAGCAGGAUUAACAGCCUCAUCUGAUCUUGAUCGGCAAAUUUCCUUCAAGUCUUCUGUUAUACUUACGGAAUCAGCCUCUGGCAAAGCUGAAGGACUUGUAUCCAAUUUGUUGUUACCAUCAGGUUCAAUGUUGGGGAACAUUCCUGCCAAAGCAUAUAACGUCUCUGCAACUUCUUCCUCAUCUUUGGUGAUUGGGCCACCAACAUUCUGCUUCAGGGACCAGUUUGGGGACCCUUGUUUCAGGUUCUGUUUCAGUUUCUUUACGCUGACCCUUUUGUGUGAUUCAACACCAGCAGUAGAAUGGUUCAACUUCUUUGAAUCUGGAAAAGGUGGAGAUAAAGAUUCUAGAUUGCGUUUC